AGGAGGGCGAUGCGCUCACACUCACAGAGGAAAGUUGAUCAACCGCCGGCUCAAUUGAAACACUGUGAAGGAUUUCGAUAGCGAAUAUGUCUACGUGCUUUACAAGUCGUAUAACCUCUGGUCGGAUAGUAGCCUACUUCAAUAGAUGAUCAGGAUGCUCUGCUCACAAGGACCUUGGGACUCUGGCAGCAGCAGAUGCUGAGGAAGAGGAAAGAGGAGUCACCUGUGCCUCCCUCUACUUCCUAUUUACAAAGAAUGAUGUCAUUUUAAAUAAAAGCACAAACCCUGAACCCUGGGAGAGACUGGACCCAUCUAAACCACAGAAGGGGAUUGAUAGCAUUAUAAACACUUUUUAUGUCUGUCUAUUUCUUACCUGUCUAUGUUGGUAUUGACAUUUCUUGCUUUUUUGGGGGGCUUAAUUAGUGUGCUGUGUAUGCUUUACAUUAUAAACACUCUUCAUAUGCCUCGUUAUUUCUGAUAGAGGACCACUCUAAAUUGAUAUUGAUAUUGGUAUGGGUAUUGAGACCACUCUGUGGUUAACGUUAUGGGUAUAGGUUGUGUGCCAACGCAGUGGUUCCUCCUCUAUUCUGCUGAGUCACUCACACAACAGAGAAACGUUGCCAAGUAGGACUAUAACUUACCAUAAAGGGCUGGGCAUCCAUCGGGGGGCGGGACUCUCCUAUUUCUACUGUCAUCUAAAAGUCAUUUAAUCUGUUAUCUAAACAUCUGUAUUCACAGUUGAUUCUUUGCAUGGGGACCUAUUGAUAAAGGAGGCAGAUGCAGUAGUGAUGAUUUGAUGCCCUGUGGGAUUGAUUGACUGUGGAUGUAGUAUGAAGCUAGCAGGGUUGGUGUCAAUUCCAUUUCAAUUUUGUCAAUUCAGGAAGUUGACUGAAACUGUAAUUCUAAUCAAGCAAUGAGGAAAACUGGAACUUGAACUUUACUUUACUUUGUCAAUUGACUAAAUCUAAAUGGAAUUGACCCCAACGCUGGUGAGUAUUUGUAGUAACAUAUGACCAGUAGUGUUAUCGUUGGUGUUGUGCAGCUGGUCACUAUCAACCAGAAAUGGAAGCCCAUUGAAGAGCUGGAGCUGGUGAAGAGUAUGACCAAGUGAUCUCUCUAUCUCUCUAUUUCUCUCCAUUCUCUCCCCUUCCUCCCCCUCCAUCCUGAAUGAGAGCUGCCUCCCUGUCCUUCCCUGCACCCCCCUCCCAGUCUAGCAGAAUCCAUUCUGCACAGACUAAAUUCUCUGAUACUUAGUGUGCGGAAACGCUUCUCCUAUGCUGGUGGGGUAUCACUGUGCUCAAUACUGUUCCCAGGACUGAGGAUGUCCACAGCUGUAGUGUUACUUACAUCGCCAGGCAGUAAAGAGUAAAAUCUUUUGUCUGCACUGUAAACCAGCUGUCUGUCUGUCCCAGUGAUGUAACUGCAUUGUACUGCACUAUAGCUGACUAUAAAUGUGACCAAAGCUGUUUGUUUGUGAAACAAACUGUAUGUGUGUGUGAAAUAAUAAUUAUUGCAAUAAAACAUUACCAUUGCUCGUGUUAUUAAUGAGGAGUGUCUACAUGGAGUUAAGUACGUCCAUUCUGGUGGUUGUUUUCAAAAGCUUGUGUCCCCAACUAUCAUCAAGGUAACUUUAUCACAGCUCUGUCUGGCUUGUCUCUGUCCCCAGAAGUGUGUCUGUUGGAGACAUUAACCUGUGUAAUAAAAGCCCUUGUGCCAAACUGUCCAUGAGGUGACAUCAUA